GAGUUGACCAAAGCUGUAGGAUUUCCUCUGUUCCCAACCCAGCUGGAUUCAUUCAUCUUUGGCUCAGUGGCUACUUCCUGACUCUAUAAUGAACUGUGAAGAAAGGCUGAGGUGAAAGAUGUCACUAGGGAACUGUAUGAGCAGAAAAACAAGAUGAGCUGGCUAAGAGUCUAGCCUUGUCCUACUGGGUGGAGUGCUGGACUGGGAGUUGAGAGGACCUGACUUCAAAUCCUGCCUCUGACAU